UGAUUAUUAAUGCAGAGUAAGCAGUCUGGCUUUGCAGCAGGACCAUUACCACCACUGAAGCUUUGGAUUAAAGCCAGCAAGACUCAGAAUUAGCUCAUUGUUCAAUACAGUCCAACUACGGGCACUGGGGUAGACAGUAAGCCAGAAUUUUUGGGAGCUUUUCAAAAGCUGACUGUACUUCAUUUUUGGACUUGAGUAAUUACUGCACAUUUGAAAAAAAAAUGCUCCCUAUUUGGGAGCUACUUGCAGAUCUGUAUGUAGACCGAAGGUGGAGUGGGGCAGAGGGCUUUGUCUUUUGUUCCACCUUAGGAACUGAGGUGACCUGCCCGAGGUCCCGCCUCUGCCAGAAAAGCAUGCAGAUAAGGGACUGGCAGUGUUUUGACCUGGUGUCACCCAUCUCGUCUGCAGACUGCUGAAGAGCAGCCACAAGGAUGGAAGUGUUCUCUUGGGGAUACUUCCUACCAUCCACCAGGAAAAGAAAUGGUUUCAAGAUGGGGAACAAUAAAACUGAAGUCUUGCUUGUGACUCCUCCAAUGGAUGCAGAUUUAUAUUUUGCUGAAAGAAGAUGGAGUCCCUCUUUUCUUUCAAUCAUUUUUCUUCCAUGUGCUUUGACUUGGUGUAUGGGUUUUGAUGAGGUGGCACAGCUUAUAAGUUUGGUUUUGUUUAUUUUUUUAACUUUUAGAUUAAACAAAUUGAGGGGACUCUGAACCUAACUGAUAUAUCAUGGAUAAUAUUACAACAAACAGCAGUUUUACCAAACUGGAACACUAAUAUGUACAAACUGUGAACAACAAUGCAACCAAUACAGGUGGGCCUUCAGGCCUUGUCGUACCAUGCAACAUACUGUCUUCCAUUAUUACAUUGGAAGUGCAUAACCAAAGAAUUUCAACUUUUACACGUCACUUUCUCAUCAUUAUCAAAUAGCAUACAAAGGCUGAGAGUCCCUUACAUUUUAUUUCUAUGUAUUAAGCUUGUUAGUUCAUAACAUGUCUGAAAUCUUCAAUUGCCUAUGUAACCUCAUAUUUUAGCUCUGUAAAUUUUAUGUAUAGAAAUACUGUAAUAGUACGUAAUGCAUUGUUUCCUUGUGGUAACUGAUAGAGGUGCUGCCACGGGAUAUGAGACACUGAUGAAUGGUGCUAUUUUGGAUUUUAAACAUGCUCCUUGGCAAGGUAGCUCUGAUGGAUUUUAUUUUUUUUAAUUUUUAUUUUCUGUUCUGAGAGCAUAUUGAUGCUUUUCUGAUUGCUUUCAUUUUUUGGACUCGAGUGACUUGCUUCUGAAUGUUUGGUGGCUUUCAUGUUGGAUUAAUUAGGAUAGGAGCAGUACCUGUCAAAUGGAGAGUUGAAUUGCAGCAUACUUGACGCAUGACAGUGCCUGAGAGACAAAGGGGACAAUUACAGCAUUGCAAUCUUGCCUUUUUUAAAUUUGCUUUCUCCCUUUAAGCACUUCUUUAAUAGCUCUAAGAAAUCUCAAAUCUUUUUUUUUAAAUACUCAACUGUGGUUGAGAUAGGCAUUUUGAUGUUUUGAACAAUGCCAUUGAUAGACAAAGUCUACUAAACAUGAUAAAAUAAGUUGUAGUAUCACAGUAACAUCAAAAUUAGGUAAUUGAAGAUUAGGUAAUUGAUUAGGUACAGUGAUUGAGACAAAAACUAGGGCACAUCCAUGGAAUAUAAUAUUUUCUCUGACUACUUGCUGUUGGAAGACCUUUUGACAUCAAAUGGGUGGUGGAAAAGAUCGCCAAAGUGGGAGACAGAGAACCCUAAUCACUUUAUUUUUGGAAGGUAGUUUCCCUGUUGGAACAAUUUAAUAAAUUGGAGACAAUAUUUUUCACAGUUAUCACUAAGCACCAAGUCAACCUUGUCUAAAAGUAAACAAGACUGCAUUAAUCUCUGAUACUCUUGCACUUUUGUGGGUAAACAAUUAUAGUUGCAAGGGACAUGUAAAAAUUAAUUUAUGGAAAUCUUUUGAUCUUGUAAUAUUUGUAAACUCAAAAGGAAUAUGCAGUCAGUUUAACAUGAAUCUAAUUGAUUGCGUAUCUUACCGUGGAACAAGUGAUACAGUGCCCUUCUGAUUUUAUUUACCGUUAAAGAAGCUCGACUUCAUUUUUGAUUGAGGACAAAAAUAAAGCAAAAUAUUUAUUGUGAACAGGGGAAAAAGUAGAAUGAAAAGGAUGUUUGCUGUUUUGUGUUUGCUCCCUUUUAAACUAAACCAUAUAGUACCACCAAAUAUGAGAUGCUGCUGUGUUAGAUAUGGUCUGAAAGCCCACCUUAAGAAAUAUUUUAAUGUCUCUUUAGCUGUUCCUUCCAUUCAAGCCUUCCUGCUUGUUCUAGACUAUUCCAGUUUCUGACUGUUAAAUGCUGAUGCAUGUAAUCAUUAUUAACUGUGUUUAAACAUUAUUUGAUUAGAAGUUGUGUAACUAGCAAAGUAGGUCUUUAGUAGCAUUUUGCAUAUGUAUAAAGGUUAGGCUUUAUGAUAAAAGUACAUGUUUUGCUGAAAAUGUGCUCCAAAUGUUUUACUGUAAUAUCAUAUAUACCCAGUGUAUCACUAUUUUGUGCUUACUUUAGUAGAAUUCAAUAAAUAUUCAUCACAAUUGUG